rnacentral:rRNA from 1 species
GACGGGGAGGUUUGGCACCUCGAUGUCGGCUCAUCGCAUCCUGGGGCUGUAGUCGGUCCCAAGGGUUGGGCUGUUCGCCCAUUAAAGCGGUACGCGAGCUGGGUUCAGAACGUCGUGAGACAGUUCGGUCCCUAUCCGUCGUGGGCGUAGGAAAUUUGAGAGGAGCUGUCCUUAGUACGAGAGGACCGGGAUGGACGCACCGCUGGUGUACCAGUUGUUCUGCCAAGGGCAUAGCUGGGUAGCUAUGUGCGGAAGGGAUAAGUGCUGAAAGCAUCUAAGCAUGAAGCCCCCCUCAAGAUGAGAUUUCCCAUAGCGUAAGCUAGUAAGAUCCCUGAAAGAUGAUCAGGUUGAUAGGUUCGAGGUGGAAGCAUGGUGACAUGUGGAGCUGACGAAUACUAAUAGAUCGAGGACUUAACCAUAUAA